rnacentral:rRNA from 1 species
GAUUUCUGAGGCGAUGCGCCCGGCCCAUCCUAGCAAUAGGCGUGAGUGCUGGUGUGCGUCCCUCAUCCUUCUAGAGAACAGCACUACCCUUUACUGGGCCGGUGUUGCCAUCUAGAUCUUUUACUUUGAAAAAAUUAGAGUGUUUAAAGCAGUCUGGCGACAUGAAUAUUACAGCAUGGAAUAAUAAUUUAGGACUUCGGUUCUAUUUUGUUGGUUUCUAGGACUGAAGUAAUGAUUGAUAGGGAUAGUUGGGGGUGCUAGUAUUCAGCGGCCAGAGGUGAAAUUCUCGGAUUCGCUGAAGACUAACUUAUGCGAAAGCAUU